UCUUGCAAACCAAAGCUGGCGACCGGCGCACGGGUGAGUAACACGUAUCCAACCUGCCGAUAACUCGGGGAUAGCCUUUCGAAAGAAAGAUUAAUACCCGAUGGUAUAAUAAAACCGCAUGGUUUAAUUAUUAAAGAAUUUCGGUUAUCGAUGGGGAUGCGUUCCAUUAGGCAGUUGGUGAGGUAACGGCUCACCAAACCUUCGAUGGAUAGGGGUUCUGAGAGGAAGGUCCCCCACAUUGGAACUGGGACACGGUCCAA
rnacentral:rRNA from 1 species